ensembl:lncRNA
CUGAAGGGCUGAGCAUGGGCGCGGUCAGCAGAGCUGCAGGCCGUGCACUGCCCGUGGACGAGUGUGGACGUAGAGCCGCCCGAGCACGCUCACUGCAAAGAACCCCAUGAAACCAUGCCUGAUGACCUGAGUCUAUCCUUGUUCGUGGCAGAGUAGUGCUCCACUGCAUCUAAGCACUACAUCCUCUUUAUGCAUUCAUCUGUCGGUGGACACCUAUACGGCAGGAAGAGAGAUCUUUCGCAAAUGAGGAGAGAACCAAGAGAUGAAGAAGAGGGGAGGGGAGAGAGGAGGGGCGGAAGGUGUGUGAUGCACACGGGCCAGCACCCCACAGUGAACGCAACCACGCACUCAAACAUGGACUGAAAAAAUAAAAGUUUGAAAUGAGCCACAAAGACUCCCGACCCGACCCGCGGGCCGUGUGACCGUCAGUGCGUGUUGCAAUUGGCCCUGAGUCUGGGGCCGACGUGCAGCUGUCCCUCACAGAUGUACUCCCCCCCCCCACAUCACUCCAUCCUGCCUGCCAGGGACCAGCCUCUGGGUGACACAGCCGGCAUCAGGGAGGAGGUGUCAGCGGCGGCCGGAAGAAAGCUGAGAUCCUACUUCCCUCCAAAUGGGAGUGGGUGUUGCUAUCCAGGAGGUCUUUAGCUGCUCCCGAAGUAUCGCAGGUGAUGAUGGGCCAGAAGAGAACAUUUUUUAACCCUCAGGGUAGGUCUGACAUAAGGCAGGGGGGCAGACUACACGGUCCUCGUGUUAAAGUUUUUAGUUUGCUUGGAAAUAACCACCCAGCACGAUCUCCUGAGCACUCACUCCAAGCAGAGUGUUGGUCCAGCCCGGGGCUUGGUCAUCCCUGAGCCAGGGCCGGUGCUUCAGGGGACAGCCACCAGCACCCUCCACAGAGAAGCUGAGACUCGGAGUCCCACGGCCGGCCAGCAGGGGGCAGGAGUCCACAGCAGGCGCCCCAGCUCCAGAUCCAGGUGCUUAAACACUGUGCCGUUCAUUUUGGUGAGCGAGGAGGAGGAGGAAAUGUUCCCCAUACUCCCAACACCUGGGAGCGACCACAAAUAAUUCUGAUGUUUUUCGUAACAACACAGAGCUCACACUACACACACAAAUGUGUGUCCUGCGCCUGUGUUUCUCAGUCGACACGCUAUGGGUGUCUUCUGCAAGCGCCGGAAGCAGGCAGGCCACCCUCAGGAUGUGCUUCGAGUCCCAGGUCCUCCCCUGCAGCAGACAACUGCAGGCGCUGUGCAGAGCGAUCCUGAGUCCAGCUGCCCAUCGGGGUGGGUACACAGGGCUCUUCCCGUGUUUGGGAUUUUUGAGUUGCAGUGGAUCCCACCUGGCGUUGUGGCCAGAACAGAGGGUGCAGAGCCCCCAGGAGGCUCGGAAGCCGGAGGGAGGGGACCCGCUGUCUGGAGCCAGGUGCCCCUCAGCGACAUCCCUCCUGAUCAGGCGCUUCACAAAGACAAGAGGACUACUUGCUUUCAGAAGGCUGGGAUUCUGUUGUCUUCAGUAGCGGAGCCUUCUUCCGGAAGCUGUAAAAUUUCAAACCUAAUGCCUGGUAAACUCCUCUAGUGCUUGCGUUUCUUAAACUGCCUCAAGGCUGUAGCCGCAGCCCUUUGCGUUUUUUAUUGUUUCUUUCGGAGCUGUGCGUUUGUGAGUCCUUGUGUGCAGUGUGUCAGGAUCACGCUCAUCCCAGGGAGUCGGUCCAUGCGUGGAACCCACCCUAAUCCCCUCUGCGUCCGCCCCCUCUCUCUGUCUCUCACUCCCCAUCCCUUUCCCAGAAGACCUGUCUCUCUGCGUCCCACUCUCUGGCUUGCAUUUUGCUCUGCUAAGCCGACCUCUCCUGGCCACCUGCCUCUUGGUUCUCACUGGGCUCCACCAUGCCCCCCAUUUCUCUAGAUCCUCAAAGGAACAAAAAAGUCCUUAAUCCCAUAAACACAAAACUAUACUUUUUUAGGAAAAAUAAUUGAAACGAAUUUUUUUCCACUGUGAUGGCUAAAUGACCCAGGAAGAGCAGGUGGCUUUCCGUCUUCUGCUGCUGAGCCUCAAGUCAGGGUGGCCGAGCUGGACGUUAGCUUGGGAAAGGCCAGGCCUGACCAUGGCACUGCCAGCAUGCACCAGACA